GGGUCGAUGGUCCAGCGGUCUACGAUCCGUGCUUUGGGAGCACGAGACCGAGGUUCGAAUUUCCGAGAGAGCGCUCGGGCUCUCUCGGCGUCCCG
rnacentral:tRNA from 1 species